CCUACGGGGCGCAGCAGUGAGGAAUAUUGGUCAAUGGGCGAGAGCCUGAACCAGCCAAGUCGCGUGAGGGAGUACUGCCCUCUGGGUUGUAAACCUCUUUUGUCGGGGAGCAAAAGCCGGACGUGUCCGGCUGUGAGAUUACCCGAAGAAAAAGCAUCGGCUAACGCCGUGCCAGCAGCCGCGGUAAUUCGGAGGAUGCGAGCGUUAUCGGGAUUUAGUGGGGUUAAAGGGUGUGCAGGCGGAUUUUUAAGUCAGCGGGAAAAUCGUGAGGCUAAAGCCCAUCCAGCCGUUGAAACUGGGGAACUGGAGUGUGCGAGAGGUAUGUGGAAUGCGUGGUGUAGCGGUGAAAUGCGUAGAUAUCACGCAGAACACCGAUUGCGAAGGCAGCAUACCGGUGCACAACUGACGCUCAGGCGCGAAAGCGUGGGUAUCGAACAGGAUUAGAUACCCCUGUAGUC
rnacentral:rRNA from 1 species